CAGCCGAGCUGCUCUAUAUCGUCCUGGUCCGUGCUGGCAUUUAGUCCAUACCGGGCUUGGAGGAGUUUUUCUACUGCAUAUGGAUUAAAAGUCUCCAUCCAAAUUGCACCUCUGUUACGUGCAUUACAUGCAUUGGAUGUAGUCAUCUUAAGAUCUGUCAGGCCUUAAAACGCUUGUCUAUUCCGUGUAACAUACAGCAACAGUGAUAGACUACUUACUGUUAAAUUCCUGCCCAAACCAAAAAAAAAUCCAAUUCAAUGGUCGCGUCUCCGCGCACGAGCUACUUUAGCCGACAAUUCAUAUUGCGCCCUUCGACGAGAAUUGAGAAAUACGUGUUACUUUCCUGACGGCUACACGAAACGCCAAACAAUUGUGCACCACUUGCUCUCACCGAGGAGGGGGUUCAUCGUGUCAUCAAAAGCAUCAUAAAGGCUUAGAUAACUCAUGACCUUAAUUAAAGUGCGGAGAGAGGACCGACAUAGUAGCCUUAAAGCGCCCAUACACGAGCACACAAGUGCGUUCGAUCGGUAUGUGUGCGCUUGCGGUUUAUCGUGUAUGGGCUUGUUCGCGUACCGAUCCAUUUUCGCGAAAUUGUUUGAUUUUUUACGAUCGGGUCGCGAACAUGUUUAUCGUGUAUGGCGUUGUCGGCGCACAAAAUCUCAUUUCUCUCAUGUCGCCGAACAGUGAAGAUCGCGGAAAAUGGCAAGUGUUAAGGGGAGAACCUGCUUUCGAGGCUUCAAAAAAUCGAUUUUUUUGAGGAUUUUUUUGGGAGGGAAAGAAAUAAUUGAUUCAAGCGAAAUUUCUAGGCUUUAUAGUUAUAUAUUUGAACAUCUUUCACAAAUUUUUUGGAUACGAAAUCUUUGAUAUUCUGCCUUUGGGAAGCAAUUGCCCGAUGCAUCUCGCAUGUGCAUUUUUAGCAGGCGGGCAGGAUGCAGGUCGCAAUUUCUAUUGGAAACAAAAAAUUCAAAGAGAAUCAUAUUUUUUAUGAAUUUAUCUUCUAGUAAACUUUGCCCUAAUUCCAUACGACGUUUAGUUUUUUUUCUAUCCUGCCCGCCAAUUAAGAAUAAUCGUAAAAAUGAAAAACCGAGAAAUCACUCUUCAAAGUUUUCGCUUUUUGCCUAAGCGCUCAUACAUAUAUGUACAUAGUGUAAGAAAAAAAAAGUUGGAAUAACUUAUUAACGAAAUACAAUGAAAUAGAUAAAAAUGCUACAUUAGAAAUAAAUUCCAAGAAAUGUUCCGCUUGCCUGUCGCACAUGUUAACUCUGUGAAAAACGAACGCAAAAUGGAUUUGUGUGUCGUGUAUGGGCAAACGAAUUCAUACCGAUCGAACGCACUUGUGUGCUCGUGUAUGGGCACUAUUAGUAGGCUACUUCAUAGUUGACCUUGUCAAAAGCUUUUGACACUGUCAAUCACAUAACGCUACUAGGAAGUAAUGAAAAGGCCAAAAUCCUGAAAAAAUUCCUUCAGGGUUGAAAAGAAGAAAUAUGAAAUACCUGAGCGAUUGUAAAUCAUCCGUACUAUUUUGACUUCAAAAUGCUAAGGGAAGAAGAAUUAAGGAGAGAUUCCGUAGGGUGAUGCCCUCUCUCCGCUACUGUUUAAUUUCUAUAUAACGAAACUUCCUUCUACAUCAUAGGGUGGAUUUCCGUUACUUCGUACGCUAAUGAUUUGAUGAUUUUACGACAUUGACGUCGGGCACUGGAAUCGAUGCCAUGGGCAAGUUGUCUAAAACUCACCCCUACUAAAUUCUUAGCGAAUUUAUUCACCAACGAGAAGAAGGAAUAUAGUAUAGACCUCAACACUUUUUUUGAUGAAGUUAAAAUUCCGAAAGUGCACAAUGUAAAAAUUUUGGUCUUUAUGUUGGCUGUCAUCGAAGUUAUAUAACGAAAGGAUCAGAAAUCGUGCUGUUUUCACGGAAAUGGCCCGUAAGGAGAAGGGUGUAAGAUGAGACGGCUCCUCUUAAUGCAGACGACUGCAGGGAUAAUUUCUGUGAAAACAUAUCACAGAAACUGCUUGGUGAGGAGCGUAUUAUGUCCCUUAACCCAAAAUAUGCAGACCUAACUACGCAGUUGAUUGACGGAUUACAUCUGGAGGUAUACGAGUGCAUUUUUCUAGUAGGUGCUGCCUGCUAUCGACUAUAGGAUUUUAUUGUGUCUAUGUACUUUCGAAAUAAUCGCGGUCGUCUGCAGAUUGAAAGAGUACAGUCGUGUUUUAACAUUUAAAAUCUUAGAGUUGUUAGUUAGUUUAUGAUCUUCAGACCAGGAAGGAACGCAGAUAGUUCGAUGUCUUCAAGUAGAGUUGUGUCGUUGUCAAACACUUUAGACAAGUCCAACAUUUCUAGGAUCGUCCUCUCAUAGGGUGUUUUUUGAAGUAGGCGACGAACUAUGUUGAUGGUAUGGUUAAAGACAGGUUUAGGAUCUUGGUUAGAUAUUUUACUUCCAUCUAAAUUACACCUUACUGAUGACACUGUGGACCUCCUAAUCGUUGAAAGUAAGUAUCGCGCAGUCUUUCGGAAUUUUACCGAGCCGCCGAGUAACACGGCUUCUAGCCUAAUCGGUUGCAGUGUAAACUGCCGGCUACUGUCUGUUCGGAUUGAACAAUACUUUGAGAGAAAUCCAGAGUUUACUCACACCGGUGAGGAGGUUACAAGUUCUUCUCAUUCCGCUUAUGCUGAUUAACAAUUGGUGAUUCUACGAAUUGAGAUUCCUUGAGCGAUGAUAAUUUCUAAAACUACUGCUUCGGCUGAAAAAUUGGGACGGAGGCUAGUGAUUCUUCCAGCCAAGAUAAAGCAAAUGGUAACAGCAGAAUUAGAAGGUGUUCUCGGCAAAUUCUGUCAAGCCAACAGUCAGCUUUGUUAAUGUUAACAAAGGUGCAGUUUUCUAUAGAAAUAAAGUCUGUAGGUCUGGAGAUAGUUAUGGCAGAUGAUCUGAUGCGAGGCUAAUAUAAGCCGCUAUCUUACAGGAUGUUGUUGUUGUAUUUCAAGAAUUCUGCAAUGUUGAUAGUCCUUGGCCGCAUAAAAAUCCAGGUUCGUUCCGGUUACGUAGACCCGAUCGUCGUGGGAACGGUAUCCUCUAUUCAAUAUCAUGAUGUAUCUUGAUGUCCUUCCUUAGGAAACGUGCAUGCCUUUUGUUGAAGAAUAUAAAUUUUUUAAUUUUUACGCUUCCUCUCUCUCAAAGCUCAGUUCCUAGGGUGUAAUCGCAAGCAGUAUUCGAAAUUAUUUUGAUUUAAAAUAUCGCUUUAAAUAGCUGUCCAUGACAUUCGAUCAACUUUUAUAAAUGUAUGUAUAUAUGUUAUAGACUUUAUUAACUUAUGUAAAUUUUUAUAGAUGUGAAAAUAAGUAAACAAUUAAUUACGUUAGUCUUUUACGCUUUAAUAAAUUAAAAUCGCCAUAA